GGAAAGUACACUGAACUGGGAAAUAGAAAGUAUGAGUUUUCAAUCCACCACCGAGCCCCUAUGUUACCUUAGCUGGGAUAUCUACCUUCUCCUGCCCUCAGACAUCAGAACUCUUGUUUCUCAGGCCUUCUGGCUCAGACUGAAUUACACAAGCUUUCCUGGAUCUCUGGCUUGCAGAUGACAUACCAUGGGACUUCACUGGCCUUCAUAUCUUUUCAGGUAUGUCUUUAUCCGCAGCAUGAAAAUGGACUAAUACAGUAAAUUUGUACCAGUAGAGUGGGCAUUGGUGAAAAGAUACUUGAAAAUGUGGAAACGACUUUGGAACUGGGUAACAGGCAGAGAUUGGAACAGUUUGGAGGGCUCAGAAGAAGACAGGAAAAUUUGGGAAAGUCUGGAACUCCCUAGAGGCUUGUUAAAUUGCUUUGCCCAAAAUCCUGAUAGCAAUAUGGACAAUAAGGUCUAGGCUGAGGUUGUCUCAGAUGGAGAUGAGGAACUUGUGGCGAACUGGAGUAAAGAUGACUCUUGUUACGUUUUAGCAAAGAGAUUGGCAGCUUUUUGCCCUUGCCCUAGAGAUUUGUGGAACUUUGAACUUGAGAAAGAUGAUUUAGGGUAUCUGGCAGAAGACAUUUCUAAGCAACAAAAUAUUCAAGAGGUGACUUGGGUUCUGUUAAAGGAAUUAAGUUUUAUAAGGGAAGCAGAGCAUAUUGGGAAAAUUUGCAGCCUUACUAUGUGAUAGAAGAGAAAAACCCAUUUUCUGGGGAGAAAUUCAAGCUGGUUGCAGAAAUUUGCAUAAGUAGCAAGAAGCCUAAUGUUAAUCCCCAAGAGCAUGGGGAAAAUGUCUCCAGGCCAUGUCAGAGAACAUCACAGCAGCCCCUCCCAUCACAGGUCCUGAAGCCCAGGAGGAAAAAGCGGUUUUGUGGGCCUGGCCUAGGGUCCCCGUGCUAUGUGCAGCUUAGGGACUUGGUGCCCUGUGUCCCAGCCACUCUGGCCAUGGCUGAAAGGGGACAACCUACAGCCUGGGCUAUAGCUUCAGAGGGUGAAAGCCCCAAACCUUGGCAGCUUCCAUGUGGUGUUGAGCCUGCAGGUGCACAGAAGUCAAGAACUGAGGUUUGGGAUGCUCUCCUAGAUUUCGGAAGAUGUAUGGAAACACCUGGGUGCCCAGGCAGAAAUUUGCUGCAGGGGUGGGGCCCUCAUGGAGAACCUCUUCUAGGGCAGUACAGAAGGAAAUGUGAGGUCGGAGCCCCCACACAGAGUCCCUACUGGGGCACUGCCUAGUGGAGCUGUGAGAAGAGGGACACAGUCCUCCAAACCACAGAAUGGUAGAAUCACCUACAGCUUGCACUGUGUGCCUGGAAAAGCAGAAGACAAUCCCAGCCUGUGAAAGCAGCCAGGAAGGGGGCUGUACCCUGCAAAGCCACAGGGGCAGAGAUGAUGGGAACCCACCACUUGCAUCAGCAUGACCUGGAUGUGAGACCUGAAGUCGAAGGAGAUCAUUUUGAAGCUUUAAAAUUGGACUGCCCCUCUGGAUUUCGGACUUACAUGGGGCCUGUAGCCCCUUUGUUUUGGCCAAUUUCUCCCACUUGGAAUGGCUGUAUUUACUCAAUACCUGUACCCCCAUUGUAUCUAGGAAGUAAUUAACUUGCUUUUGAUUUUACAGGCUCAUAGGUGGAAGGGACUUGUCUUGUCUCAGAUGAGACUUUGGACUGUGGACUUUUGGGUUAAUGCUGAAAUGAGUUAAGACUUUGGGUACUGUUGUGAAGGCAUGAUUGGUUUUGGAAUAUGAAAACAUGAGAUUUGGAGGGGAUGGGGUGGAAUGAUAUGGUGUGGCUAUGUCCCCACCCAAAUCUCUACUGGAAUUGUAUCUUCCAGAAUUCCCACAUGUUGUAGGAGGGACCCAGGGGGAGUAAUUGAAUCAUGGAGGCUGGUCUUUCCCAUGGUAUUCUCGUGAUAGUGAAUAAGUCUCACGAGAUCUGAUGAGUUUAUCAGGGGUUUCUGCUUUUUCUUCUUGCUCCUCAUUUUCUCUUGCUGCUGCCAUGUAAGAAGUGCCUUUUGCUUCCCAUCAUGAUUCUGAGGCCUCCCCAGCCAUGUGAAACUGGAAGUCCAGUUAAGCAUGUUUUUCUUCCCAGUUUCGGGUAUGUCUUUAUAAGCGGCAUGAAAAUG
rnacentral:lncRNA from 1 species